rnacentral:rRNA from 1 species
GACGAACCGUGCGAACGUUAUUCGGAAUCAUUGGGCUUAAAGCGCGUGUAGGCGGGUCGGCGCGUCGGCCGCUGAAAUCCCCCGGCUCAACCGGGGAAGCGGCGCCGAUACGGCCGGCCUGGAGGGACGUAGGGGGGGCUGGAACUUCCGGUGGAGCGGUGAAAUGCGUUGAGAUCGGAAGGAACGCCCGUGGCGAAAGCGAGCCCCUGGACGUCUACUGACGCUGAGACGCGAAAGCCAGGGGAGCGAACGGG